ensembl:rRNA 5S_rRNA 5S ribosomal RNA
GUCUAUGGCCGUACCACCUUGAAUGUGUCUGAUCUCAUUAGCUAAGCAGGGUCGGGCCUGGUGUGUACUUUGAUGGAAUAAAAUAAAAUCAUGAUUGACUAUAGUUU